rnacentral:rRNA from 1 species
UGGGGAAUUUUGGACAAUGGGCGAAAGCCUGAUCCAGCAAUGCCGCGUGUGUGAAGAAGGCCUUCGGGUUGUAAAGCACUUUUGUCCGGAAGGAAAUCCUUGGCUCUAAUACAGUCGGGGGAUGACGGUACCGGAAGAAUAAGCACCGGCUAACUACGUGCCAGCAGCCGCGGUAAUACGUAGGGUGCAAGCGUUAAUCGGAAUUACUGGGCGUAAAGCGUGCGCAGGCGGUUUGCUAAGACCGAUGUGAAAUCCCCGGGCUCAACCUGGGAACUGCAUUGGUGACUGGCAGGCUAGAGUAUGGCAGAGGGGGGUAGAAUUCCACGUGUAGCAGUGAAAUGCGUAGAGAUGUGGAGGAAUACCGAUGGCGAAGGCAGCCCCCUGGGCCAAAUACUGACGCUCAUGCACGAAAGCGUGGGGAGCAAACAGGAUUAGAUACCCUGGUAGUCCACGCCCUAAAACGAUGUCAACUAGUUGUUGGGGGAUUCAUUUCCUUAGUAACGUAGCUAACGCGUGAAGUUGACCGCCUGGGGAGUACGGUCGCAAGAUUAAAACUCAAAGGAAUUGACGGGGUCAUAGCUGUUUCCU